rnacentral:rRNA from 1 species
AGUGAACGCUGGCGGCAGGCCUAAUACAUGCAAGUCGAACGGCAGCACAGCAGAGCUUGCUCUGUGGGUGACGAGUGGCGGACGGGUGAGGAAUACGUGGGAAUCUGCCCAGUCGUGGGGGAUAACGUAGGGAAACUUACGCUAAUACCGCAUGCGCCCUUCGGGGGAAAGCCGGGGACCUUCGGGCCUGGCGCGAUUGGAUGAGCCCACGUCGGAUUAGCUAGUUGGCGGGGUAAAGGCCCACCAAGGCGACGAUCCGUAGCUGGUCUGAGAGGAUGAUCAGCCACACUGGAACUGAGACACGGUCCAGACUCCUACGGGAGGCAGCAGUAGGGAAUAUUGGACAAUGGGCGCAAGCCUGAUCCAGCCAUGCCGCGUGAGUGAAGAAGGCCCUCGGGUUGUAAAGCUCUUUGUCCGGAAAGAAAGCGCCGGGUUAGUACCCUGGUGUCCUGACGGUACCGGAAGAAUAAGCACCGGCUAACUUCGUGCCAGCAGCCGCGGUAU